rnacentral:lncRNA from 10 species
GUGGGAGUGUGGGAGGGGGCCGCGGGCAGAGAGCGGGAGUCCGGCUGGGUGGGAGAUCUCCUGAGCCGAAGCUGGGUCUCGCCCCAGCGUGGCGCCACCGACCCGCAGGCUUUUCCUGCUCUGCAGAUGGAGAGACACAGGGACGCUCCUCAGCCUGUCCUGCUCUGGCCUGCCCUGUGCUCAGGAAGCUGGCGGUCCCCCUCAGUGGAUCUUCACCCACAGGGACAACCUGCUGCAGACCGGGUAGGAGGGAGGCAGGGGCCUCUUCCCCUCUCCUUCCUGGCCUGGCCCCACACCCACCAGUGUUGGUUUCACUCUGUGGCUACGAUUCUUCCUGGGUGCCCUUUCCAUUGCACAACUCCUCUAGGCUCUACGAACAGAACUUCUCCCCGCCCCCAAGCCUCUUAGGGUGAGACAUGUUGUCGGUCUGCCAUUGUUGCUGGUCCCUAAAUAGCAGCACCCUUUGAAGGAUCCUUGAACCAUGACCACACCGCAACAAAGAGUCCUUCAUCAAACUCGCUUCCAAAUCCCCUCCCAAGAACACCUUCAGUUUCCUGCAAGAACCCUGACUGCUGAAGCCGGAUUUUGACUAAGCUUCUACCUUGUAAACCGUGACUGUGGGAUUGGGGUCGAGGCGCAAUCAGAGGUUGUAUAAGGCACUAGAUCAAGGCUGCCUGUCUGUCAGGAGUGUCUGCUUUAUUCAGUAGUAAAUGUGAAUUGUUUUUCAUUCUGUUGUGAAUACUGUUGGUUGACAAUGCAGCAGCCAUGCCCUCUCUAUCCUUGCUGGUUCAGGUAUCCACUCUGUGUGGCUAAGGGUAAACUCUGUCUCUUGAGAAAAUCUUGGUAACUCCAUUUCUCUUUCCAACAAUUGGCUUCAAACAAGCUCAAGUCAAUGAGUCCCAACAGGAAGCCUGCUGGGGGUUGUCUGGCAAAGGUUUUCUCACUCCUACAGGAACAUAAAGAGGAAAUGCUCCUUUUUCCCUGGUGAAUGUUGCAUUCCCUGUCUGGAUGCAAUGCCUGGUGCUCCGCAGCCCUUUGCACUUAUAAGAGAAGGUGGCCGGAAGAGCAUCUUCACCCUGGGGUGGCCGCCUGGGAAGAUGAGAAGAGCAGGAGUCCUUGGUGGCACAACCAGGCAAUUCACCAAAAUCCUGCUGCCCUCACCUGGAAUUUCCUGCUAUGAGAGACGUCUCCGUUUAAACCACAUGAGCUGGAUUUUCUGUUUCUAACACAUGUCAGCAUCUUCACGGUAAAUCUAAGAAAAAAAAAUCAGGGCUAUUAAAAAACAAAGUCCAACUCACCCUGUGCUAUGGUCUGAAGGUGUCCUCCCAAAUUCACACGUGGAAACCUAAUCCCAAAUACCUGAUACCUAAUCCCAAAUAUUAAGAGGUGGGGGCCUUGGGAGGUGGUUAGGAAUGGGAUUAGUGCCCUUUAAAACUGAGGUUUUUGGGAGCCUGCUUGCCCUUUCUGCCAUAUGAAGAUGCUUAGAAGAGGCCUUCUAUGAAGCAGAGAACUUUUCUCAGAUGCCAGAUCUGCUGGGACCUUGAUCUUGGAUUUCUCAGCCUUCAGAACUGUGGGAAGCAAACUUCUGUGUGUAUGAAUAGCCAUCUAAAGGAUUUUGUUACAGCAGCCUGAGCAGACUAAGACACCCUGUGAGUCAGUUAUUUUUGGCUGUGUCACGAGUGACCGCGAGUGCAGGAGCUGAAACGGCAGUGAGUGGGUUACCAUUUCUCAGGACCCUGCGGAAUUGUGCAUUCAAAAGUGAAACGACUGCCAGAACUCCAGGGCCUGCAAGUUUCUUCCUUCACAUCUAAGCAGAAGGAGAGACUUCACAGUGACGUGCCAGCUAAGUCACGUGCCCACUCCUGCCCAGUCUGUCACGCAAGUAGCAGAGUCCCUGAGAUGAUUGGCUUAGGCCCGAGGUCAGUGCACAUCACCAAACUAGUAAGUGUCCAAGGGGAAUGAAAUU